rnacentral:tRNA from 1 species
UACGCCAGUAGCUCAAUUGGCAGAGCAGCGGAUUCCAAAUCCGCAGGUUGGGUGUUCGAGUCACCCCUGGCGUGU